UACGGAGGGAGCUAGCGUUGUUCGGAAUUACUGGGCGUAAAGCGCACGUAGGCGGCUUUGUAAGUUAGAGGUGAAAGCCCAGGGCUCAACCCUGGAAUUGCCUUUAAGACUGCAUCGCUUGAACAUCGGAGAGGUAAGUGGAAUUCCGAGUGUAGAGGUGAAAUUCGUAGAUAUUCGGAAGAACACCAGUGGCGAAGGCGACUUACUGGACGAUUGUUGACGCUGAGGCGCGAAAGCGUGGGGAGCAAACAGG
rnacentral:rRNA from 1 species